CCUCCCCCAACAUGUCGCGGGCGUGACCAAAGGCUCUCCCUGCGCUCCCAACUCCCUCGGCCUCCCAGCCACCUUACACGGAGACAAACACCUCUGUGUUUGAUGUGGUAGGAGACAUUUUCUCAACCUCCUGGAAAGCGGGAGUAAAGGCAUUUUAGACUCCUUUGCUAUUUCUCCUGGUCCAGAUGGUGCCGUCUAAGUGGAAAUGCAGUGACAUCACAACGUACUUUGACAGCAUUUUAAUGGUUCCAAGAUACUUUGCAUGACAGAAACAGAACCUCGGAGAGAGGACCACACUCCCCCAAGGGGCAGAGUUCUCCUGAGCCCAUCAAGACCCCAUUUCACCUGACGGUUGGUGCCGGAGAUGCUCUGUCUAUGAGACCCAGGUUGCUCCGGGAACACUGCCCGACGCCAUAGCGCUGGCCCUACAUGGGCUCUCCAUACCUGGUCUCAUUUCACAGCCUGACCCUCUGCAACAUCAUCCAAUCCCAAGUGGCAGCCACUGGCCUCUGUAGCUACUGAGCACGUGCAGUGAGGCCAGUCCAAAUGGAGAGGGCUGUGGACACACUGACUUUCAAGACUUAGUGCAAAAGAAAGAAAAAAAAGAACAGAAUGUAAAAUCUCAUUGAUGACUCUUUCCAUGGAUUACAUGGUAAAAUGGUAAUGUUUGGAAUUAUACAUUGGGUUAAAUAAACUACUUUAUGAAAAUUAA